UUAGUGCGUUCACAUACCUUGAGCUAGACACAGCAUGCUGAUUGGUGCAUUUACAAUCCUCCAGCUAGACGUAGUAAGUUCUCCAAGUACCCACCGGACUCAGGAGCCCAGCUGGCUUUGCCUAGUGCAUCCCGGCCGCGGGCGGAGCUGCCCGCCAGUCUCUGGCGCGCUGCCGCACUCCUCAGCCGUUGGGCGGUUGACGGGACCGGGUGCCGCGUAGCAGGAGGUGGCGCCCGUCCCCUCGGGGUGGCGCGCGGGAGCCUGCGGUUGGGGGGCGGGGGGCGGGGGGCAGGGGACGGGGGCGGGGAGGAGGGUGAGGGCUCCAGCAUGGCAGGCUGCAGGUCCCGAGCCCUGCCCCCUUGCCCCGCGGGGAGGUGGCUGAGGCCCAGCGAAAAUUCGAGCGCGGCGCCGGCGGGCCAUCACUGUUGGAGGACCCAGUGCACCCUCCGCAGCUGCUGGCCCGGGUGCUAAGCCUCUCACUGCCCAGGGCCGGCGGCGCCAGCCGACCGCUCAAGAGUGCGGGGCGCGCCGAGCCCGCGCCCACCCGGAAGUCGCGCUGAGCCCGCGCCCACCCGGAAGUCGCGCUGGACCUGCGAGCACCGCAGGCAGCCCAGGUUCCGGCCCGCGCCUCUCCCUCCACACCUCCCCGCCAGCAGAGGGAGCCCGCUCAGGCCUCAGCCAGCACAGAGAGGGGCUCCCACGGUGCAGCUGCGGGCUGAAGGGCUCCUCAAGCGCGGCCAGAGUGGGCUGAGGCCGAGGAGGCGCCGAGAGCCAGCGAGGGAUGCCAGCAAGCUGUCACCUCUCAGAAAUACAGGAAGAACAUCAAUAAUGUUCGAAGUUAUAAAGUAGUAGGUUUCUAUCAAGAGUAAAACAUAAACGAAGUUAUAAAGUAGUAGGUUUCUAUCAAGAAUAAAACAUAAACGAUCAAAGAAUUCCUUAUAAAAACAUUUUUUAUUUCUAGGAAUCAAAACAUAAAUAUAAAAUUUGAGAGUCCACCAAAAAAAAUUAGAUGCCAGAUUUCACUAUAAUUAUCAGGGAAGCGCCCAAAUGGGUUGUUUACGGCGCCUCGGGGAAACUUUCUGUUUCGUGUUAAGGGUCUUGAACCAUGAUGUUUAGAAAACCAUGGGCUGAUGCUUUCAGAACCUCUGUGAUUUUUGCCUCUGACACUGCAUCCAAUAGACUAGCAUGUUGAUUAGGGAAAGCUAAAUUCAAUAAAAGACGACUGUAAGUGGGGUCACCACCUUGAGGGGUCAUGUUAGAAAAGUAGAUGAUAAGGUGGUAUUGAUAGAGUAUUGAAGUCUGGGCUCAAAUGGUUGCCCGGGGCCUUUCAAGACCAAUGACUGAUAAGAAUAGGUAAUGUUCAGGACAUAGAGUUUAGGAUUGGGGGACACUGUGAGUUAAGGGCCAUGACAGAAGUCUUCAUAAGUAAACUGUUAAUUGACACAAGCUGCUACCUGCCCAGGCUGGAAUGCACUUGGAUGCCAGAGAUUUUGAUUUCUUCAUGUGACAUAAGUUGCGGAGGUCAGAGGUCAGAAAACAAGGUGUCUGCAGGACCAACCUCUCCUCUGGAUGCUCUAGGUGUUGAAAUUUCCAGGAUGCAAAACGAAGGGGCAAUUCAAAACAUUCAUCUCCACUUCUCAAAAGUCUUUGAUUACUUGAGAAAAGUGAGUGAGGUGGGGCCAAGAUGGUUGACUAGAAGCAGCUAGUGUGUGCCACUCUCACAAAUAGCAGAAAGAGUGGUGAGACACUAGCUCUUCAACCGGAACAUCCAGGUGGACACAUAAGGAUUCAUCAGUGACAUAGUGUGACCUUCGGAUCACGGAGAAGAGUGAGACAGAUCAGCCAUUCACCCAGGAGUGGCACAGACCCAGGGGAAUCCCCCUACAAGAAAAUGGUGAGUGAGUGAGAGUCCCGUGGGAUGCAUAUUUCUGCCACGAACCUUUGAAUCCCUGGGCUCAGGAGAUACCCCAGCUGGGGUCUCCAGACCAAAACAGAGAGCCAUGUGGAGUCUGGGUAGAGCUGCUUCUUAGGUAGGUGUGGAGUCCCAGUAGCAUUUGUUCCCUGGGUACCCCAAAACCAGGGGCUGCAGCUCCAGCAAUUGGGAAGGCCAAGUUUUCUUGCACGCUCCCCAGAAAAGGGGCCAAGUCCAUGGGGCUGAGCAGUGAUAGACUGCAGACCUCACCACCACUGAACCUUGUAGGAUAAGGCCCACUAGCCUGGGAUGCUAGUGAGGCCACCCUAGUCCUCCUGAGUUCUCCAGCUGGGAGCAGCUCUACACUUCUCCGGCAUGCAGCUCCCAAAGAGAGAGGCAGUCCACCUUUUUGCUGUCUCGCAACCCUCCCUCCUGCUGCUCUCAGGCUUGGGAGGGUGCACAGCAAUUAGGGACUAUCACAGAACCCCAGCACAGUGCAUCUGGUGAACUUAAAAAAAUCAACAAGUGAAAAACAAACAAUCCCAUUUAAACGUACACAAAGUACAUGAACGGACACUUUCAAAGGAGGGCAUACAUGUGGCCAGAAAGCAUAUGACAAAAUGCUCAACAUCACUAAUCAUUAGAGAAAUGCAAAUCAAAACCACAAUGAGAUACCA